GAUCAUGGCUUCAGAUGAACGCUAGCUACAGGCUUAACACAUGCAAGUCGAGGGGCAGCAUGGUCUUAGCUUGCUAAGGCCGAUGGCGACCGGCGCACGGGUGAGUAACGCGUAUCCAACCUGCCUUACACUCUUGGACAGCCUUCUGAAAGGGAGAUUAAUACAAGAUGUUAUCAUGAGUAAGCAUUUUCGCAUGAUUAAAGGUUUACCGGUGUAAGAUGGGGAUGCGUU
rnacentral:rRNA from 1 species